GCGGAUAUGGCGUAAUUGGUAGCCGCGCUAGACUUAGGAUCUAGUGCCGAAAGGCGUGGGGGUUCGAGUCCCUUUAUCCGCA
rnacentral:tRNA from 1 species